UAAUCUGCCUGCGCUUCAGGUGCUUCCAUUUGAGAAGUGAAACUGGGAAGUCAGUCAAAACGCCAAUUUAGGGUGUUUGUAAUCUGACACUGCCCCCGCAACGGUGAAUAGGGUUUGAUAUUGAAUCAGCCCUUAAGUCCGGAGACCGGCCUGAUGCAAACCUACACA
rnacentral:ncRNA from 2 species